UACAGAGGGUGCGAGCGUUAAUCGGAAUUACUGGGCGUAAAGCGCGCGUAGGCGGCUUUGCAAGUCGGGUGUGAAAUCCCCAGGCUCAACCUGGGAACUGCAUUCGAGACUGCAUUGCUAGAGUAUGGGAGAGGGAAGUGGAAUUUCAGGUGUAGCGGUGAAAUGCGUAGAUAUCUGAAGGAACAUCAGUGGCGAAAGCGACUUCCUGGACCAAUACUGACGCUCAUGUGCGAAAGCGUGGGGAGCGAACAGG
rnacentral:rRNA from 1 species